UACGUAGGGUGCAAGCGUUAAUCGGAAUUACUGGGCGUAAAGCGUGCGCAGGCGGUUUUGUAAGUCUGUCGUGAAAGCCCCGGGCUCAACCUGGGAAUGGCAGUGGAUACUGGCGAGCUAGAGUGUGAUAGAGGAUGGUGGAAUUCCCGGUGUAGCGGUGAAAUGCGUAGAGAUCGGGAGGAACACCAGUGGCGGAAGGCGGCCAUCUGGAUCAACACUGACGCUGAGGCACGAAAGCGUGGGGAGCAAACAGG
rnacentral:rRNA from 1 species